AAUGAACGCUGGCGGCAGGCCUAACACAUGCAAGUCGAACGGAUCCUUCGGGAUUAGUGGCGGACGGGUGAGUAACGCGUGGGAACAUACCCUUUGGUACGGAAUAGCCUCGGGAAACUGGGAGUAGUACCGUAUGUGGUCGAGAGACGAAAGAUUUAUCGCCAAAGGAUUGGCCCGCGUUGGAUUAGGUAGUUGGUGGGGUAAUGGCCUACCAAGCCGACGAUCCAUAGCUGGUUUGAGAGGAUGAUCAGCCACACUGGGACUGAGACACGGCCCAGACUCCUACGGGAGGCAGCAGUGGGGAAUCUUAGACAAUGGGGGAAACCCUGAUCUAGCCAUGCCGCGUGAUCGAUGAAGGCCUAGGGUUGUAAAGAUCUUUCAGGUGGGAAGAUAAUGACUGUACCACCAGAAGAAGCCCCGGCUAACUCCGUGCCAGCCGCCGCAGUAAUAC
rnacentral:rRNA from 1 species